UGACCAGACUCCUACGGGAGGCAGCAGUGGGGAAUAUUGCACAAUGGGGGGAACCCUGAUGCAGCGACGCCGCGUGAGUGAAGAAGUAUUUCGGUAUGUAAAGCUCUGUCAGCAGGGAAGAAGAAAGACGGUACCUGACCAAGAAGCCCCGGCUAACUACGUGCCAGCAGCCGCGGUAAUACGUAGGGGGCAAGCGUUAUCCGGAUUUACUGGGUGUAAAGGGAGCGUAGACGGCAGGGCAAGUCUGGAGUGAAAGGCAGGGGCCCAGCCCCGGAACUGCUCUGGAAACUGUGCGGCUAGAGUACUGGAGGGGCAGGCGGAAUUCCUAGUGUAGCGGUGAAAUGCGUAGAUAUUAGGAGGAACACCAGUGGCGAAGGCGGUCUGCUGGACAGUAACUGACGUUGAGGCUCGAAAGCGUGGGGAGCAAACAGGAUUAGAUACCCCUGUA
rnacentral:rRNA from 1 species